rnacentral:rRNA from 1 species
AGAGUUUGAUCCUGGCUCAUAAUCAACGCUGGCGGCGUGCCUAACGCAUGCAAGUCGAGCGAGAGGGGGUAGCAAUACCCUAGUAAAGCGGCGCACGGGUGAGUAACACGUGGGUAAUCUGCCUCGAAGUGGGGAAUAACACCGGGAAACCGGUGCUAAUACCGCAUAAUCUGACGAAGUCUGCGGAUUUUGUCAGCAAAGGAGCAAUUCGCUUUGAGAGGAGCCCGCGGCUGAUUAGCUAGUUGGUGAGGUAAUGGCUCACCAAGGCCACGAUCAGUAGCCGGUCUGAGAGGACGGUCGGCCACACUGGAACUGAGACACGGUCCAGACUCCUACGGGAGGCAGCAGUGGGGAAUUUUUCGCAAUGGGGGCAACCCUGACGAAGCAACGCCGCGUGGGUGAUGAAGUCUCUUGGGACGUAAAACCCUUUCGACGGGGACGAAAACCGCAAGGUUUGACGGUACCCGUAGAAGAAGCCCCGGCUAACUCCGUGCCAGCAGCCGCGGUAAUACGGGGGGGGCAAGCGUUGUUCGGAAUUACUGGGCGUAAAGGACGCGUAGGCGGCUCACUAAGUCGGAUGUGAAAACUCUGGGCUCAACCCAGAGCCUGCAUCCGAAACUGGUGGGCUAGGGUGCUGGAGGGGAUAGCGGAAUUCCUGGUGUAGCGGUGAAAUGCGUAGAUAUCAGGAGGAACACCGGUGGCGAAGGCGGCUAUCUGGACAGUACCGACGCUGAGCGCGAAAGCUAGGGGAGCAAACAGGAUUAGAUACCCUGGUAGUCCUAGCCCUAAACGAUGGAUACUUGCUGUGAGGGGGAUUGAAUCCCUUCGUGGCGAAGCUAACGCAUUAAGUAUCCCGACUGAGGAGUACGGUCGCAAGGUGAUUCUCGAGUAAUUGACGGGGGCCCGCACAAGCAGUGGAGUAUCGGGUUCAU